rnacentral:rRNA from 1 species
UACGUAGGCAGCAAGCGUUGUUCGGAAUUACUGGGCGUAAAGAGUGUGUAGGCGGUGCUCUAAGUCUGUUGUGAAAUCUCCCGGCUUAACCGGGAGGGUGCGGCGGAAACUGGAGUGCUUGAGGGUGGGAGAGGUAAGCGGAAUUCCUGGUGUAGCGGUGAAAUGCGCAGAUAUCAGGAAGAACACCCGUGGCGAAGGCGGCUCUCUGGGACGGUACUGACGCUGAGACGCGAAAGCGUGGGGAGCGAACAGG